rnacentral:tRNA from 1 species
GCAUUGUUGGGGUAGUGGUAACCUGGAUCGUUGCCAGUCCAAUUCGAUCCGCCCCGGGUUCAAUUCCCGGACAAUGCA